rnacentral:rRNA from 1 species
AUUGAACGCUGGCGGCAGGCCUAACACAUGCAAGUCGAGCGGAUGAAGGGAGCUUGCUCCUGGAUUCAGCGGCGGACGGGUGAGUAAUGCCUAGGAAUCUGCCUGGUAGUGGGGGAUAACGUCCGGUAACGGGCGCUAAUACCGCAUACGUUCUGAGUGAGAAAGUGGGGGAUCUUCGGACCUCACGCUAUCAGAUGAGCCUAGGUCGGAUUAGCUAGUUGGUGGGGUAAAGGCCUACCAAGGCGACGAUCCGUAACUGGUCUGAGAGGAUGAUCAGUCACACUGGAACUGAGACACGGUCCAGACUCCCACGGGAGGCAGCAGUGGGGAAUAUUGGACAAUGGGCGAAAGCCUGAUCCAGCCAUGCCGCGUGUGUGAAGAAGGUCUUCGGAUUGUAAAGCACUUUAAGUUGGGAGGAAGGGCAGUAAGUUAAUCCCUUGCUGUUUUGACGUUACCAACAGAAUAAGCACCGGCUAACUUCGUG